UGCCACUCAAAUAUUCUCUGCCCCCUGUGCCUCUGUCCGUGUCUGUGUCUCUCUGUCUCACUCAACUGCUGCUACCCUGCACAUUUCUGAAUUCUAGAGAGAGAGCGAGUCAUGGAAGAAGCGACUUCAACCAAGAGUCAGCCCUUGCCGGUGACGGACUCGCCGGUGGCCAAAGAAAGCCACCGGAGUGCCAAGGGCAUGACGAAAAGAGGUGUUUACGCUGCCAUCUCCUACAUGGUUUGCGCAAUUCUCUUGAUAUUGUUCAACAAGGCAGUUCUUUCUUCUUAUAAUUUUCCAUAUGCAAAUGUCAUCACUCUUUUUCAGACGAUAUCUUCCUGUUUAUUUCUCUAUGUGAUGAGACGCUGGAAGAUAAUUUCUUUCUCAGCUGGUCAACCAGAGAGCAUCACUGAUGACUCAGCAACACAUGUACCAAUUAAGACAUUGGUUCACACCCUUCCUCUAGCAUCAUCAUAUUUGCUCUACAUGCUGAUCACAAUGGAAUCUGUACGCGCCUUAAAUGUACCUAUGUACACCACACUAAGACGAACAACUGUGGCUUUUACAAUGGUGGUUGAGUAUUUCCUGACAGGGCAGAAACAUUCACUUGCUGUGCUUAGCAGUGUUGGGAUAAUCAUACUUGGUGCAUUUAUUGCUGGAGCUCGGGACCUGUCAUUUGACUCCUAUGGCUAUGCUAUUGUUUUUGUGGCAAACAUUUGUACAGCUGUAUAUCUUGCUUCUAUAUCUCGUAUUGGAAAAUCCAGUGGCCUCAGUAGCUUUGGCCUUAUGUGGAGCAAUGGAAUAAUAUGUGGGCCAGCCUUACUGUUAUGGACAGCUAUGAAUGGUGACCUGGAAGCUAUGAUGAACUUCCCCCAUUUGUUCUCCCCUGGCUUUCAGGCCAUGAUGCUUCUUUCAUGUAUUAUGGCUUUCUUCUUGAAUUACUUCGUAUUUCUCAAUACAACUCUCAAUUCGGCACUCACACAGACAAUUUGUGGCAAUCUGAAGGAUCUUUUUACGAUUGGGCUUGGCUGGCUGAUAUUUGGUGGACUUCCAUUUGAUUUGUUAAAUGUUGCUGGCCAAUCUAUUGGUUUUCUGGGGUCCUGCCUGUAUGCAUAUUGUAAACUCAGAGGAAAGUAAUUUUGAUGCAGCUGCCCAAGAACCUCUCCUUCUUUCUUUUUUUCUUUGAGCUUGCAGUUUUGCAGGUCUCUAGCAGUCCUCCGACGUCUGCAGACACUAAUAGGUAACUUCAGGUAUGAUAAGUGUAAGCUGUAGAGAUCAUUAAUGGGCUCUUUUUUUUUUUUUUUCCAUCUUGAUGUUGAUUGCUCGAGAAAAAGGAGCUUCUUUUUCUCUCUCUCUCUUUCUCUUUCUCUCUCUUUCUCUCUGUGGAUGAACUCAAUGAAGGAAUAAGUUUUCUCUCUUGCGGAUUGCAUGGAAUCACAUGUACAAGUUUCAAACUUAAAUCAAUUCAUCGUUUGGAUGUGUUUA